AUUGAACGCUGGCGGCAGGCCUAACACAUGCAAGUCGAACGCGAAAGUUCUUCGGAAUGAGUAGAGUGGCGGACGGGUGAGUAACGCGUAGGAAUCUGCCCUGCAGGGGGGGAUAACCCGGGGAAACUCGGGCUAAUCCCGCAUACGCCCUAAGGGGGAAAGCGGGGGAUCUGCGGACCUCGUGCUAUAGGAGGAGCCUGCGUCGGAUUAGCUAGUUGGUAGGGUAAAGGCCUACAAAGGCGACGCACCGUAGCCGGUCUGAGAGGAUGAUCAGCCACACCGGAACGGAGCCACGGUCCGGACUCCUACGGGAGGCAGCAGUGGGGAAUAUUGCGCAAUGGGCGAAAGCCUGACGCAGCGACGCCGCGUGGGUGAUGAAGGCCUUCGGGUCGUAAAGCCCUGUCGGGAGGGACGAAACCUCGGUGACUGAACAGGUCGCCGACCUGACGGUACCUCCGAAGGAAGCACCGGCUAACUCCGUGCCAGCAGCCGCCGUAACAC
rnacentral:rRNA from 1 species